AUGUUAAUAUGGGCUAACCCACCC
rnacentral:siRNA from 1 species